AAUGAAGAGAAAAAAAAGAGAUACUAUGGUCGAGCGCACGAAUUGCGGGAUUGACUAGCGACUCUUUCGCCCCUCAGGCCCUCACACCCACCGUCUUCCUCCUAGCUAGGGUUAGGAAAAACGUGGCCGCCGCCGCCCUCCCCCACUUCGCUCGAGGUCGCCCCUCUCCAUGUCCCCUCCUGAGCUCCACCUCCUCCAGCCCCCGCCUGGGCUCUGCUCCUUCUUCCUUGUUGGCGCUCAACCGGACGAGGCUGAACUGCCACAAACUGCGGCAGAGGGACACGUCGAUGAGGAUGGCAAGUCGAGCUGGAGGGGAUCGGGAGGCGUGAGGCGUGGAUACGGGUGGAGCGCUGAAGAAGGGUUGUGUGGGGCAACCGGCCCGUCUUAUUUUGUGGAGUGGCCAUUAUCAUCGCCAAGCUACUCAACUCGUCGAACCCGAUGUCGCCAUGUUCGGGAAGAAGGAUUGUCAGCAGUGGCGUCUCCUCUGCCGAAUGAUAACUAACAGAUUUGGCAGUCUGCAGUGCCGAGUGCCGGGACCAAGAGAUCAUGAUCGAAGAGGAAGCGAAGAACAAGAUCGUCAUCAGAUGCUCGUCCUGCUCAACCCUGCAUGGGUGGAUGGAACGGACAAUAGCGGAGGACAUGGACAUUGCUCGUCCUGAAGAACGUCGAGUGCCAAUGCGAACUACCAGAGUCAUAUGAGGCUUACCGAAAGUGGCAACAUCGGUGGCAUUCCGGUCCAAUGCAGAUGUUCAAGCUUUGCAUAUCCAACAUCAUCAAGCCCAAGGCAUUGCUAUGCUCUUUUUGUUGUAAUAUCUAAACAGAAUGUACUACAAAAUAGAUAAUCUGACGAAGAUGUGGCACGUGAGAUGUUCUCCAAUAAUGUUAACUUGUCAAAAACUCUAAAAUGGUACUGCUUUUUGAACCGAGUGUCAAACCCAAUUGAGUCAAGUCUCCCUUGCAGUACGGUAUUUUGUGGCGCUUGCUUAGGUUACACUUUAACACCGCCUAUGUCUUCUAGGCAUAGCCGGUCCCAAGCCCGGGUAAAGGAGGAGGGUUGUGAUAGGCUUGGCGAGCCAACGUAAAAACUAGCCAGUCCCAUAGGUAUGAAACCGAUUUGAGCGAGAGUAGUACUAGGAUGGGUGACCUCCUGGGAAGUCCUUGUGAAAGAGUUUCAUAUCUAAGGGUUGUGAUAGGCUUGGCGAGCCAACGUAAAAACUAGCCAGUCUUUUGGGUAUGAAACCCAUUUGGGCGAGAGUAGUACUAGGAUGGGUGACCUCCUGGGAAGUCCUCGUGAAAGGGUUUCAUAUCUAGCCUACCCCAACUUGUUUGGGAUCAAAGGCUUCGUAAGUAAGUAGCUUAGGUUACACUUUGAAAAUCAUUUGCCUUCUGUAUGCAUCAUGUGUGAUCUCUUUUUGUUCCAGUAGGGACCAUUCAGUGGGAUUUCUAUUGAAUAAGCUUUGAACCUGAAUUGAUAUUUUAUGGUUAACAGAGUUAAGUCGCAGGAAAUAUGUGCUUUUGGUAAUUGAGGUAGAUAUAUGUGUGUUUCUUUUUUGCUGUAAUGUGGUUGUUAUUUUAAUUUAGAAAUUUAACAGAUGUUGUUUGCAUGACAAGAUGUGUACUGUACCUACUUACUAAUAGCAGAAUCUUAAUCCUUCGCAAGCAGUCGAUGGAGACUUGGCAUUCCCGGGUUUACUUUGCGAACAAUAUCAUUUAGGAACUGACUGCCAUUUGCUGAAUUGUUGAAAAGUGGAUAUGAUGGAAGAAGGUACCGGAAAUGUUCUUGUUGUUGUAAGCUAUUUGCAUGAAGCGCUAAAAUGCAAAAGAAAUUUCUUGGAGCAGACAUAGAGGUCAUAUGAAUAUGCACUGUUGUAGUGUUCACACUCGUCUGAAGCUGGUUCCUUUCAUUUUCCAGGAUUUGACGCUGCUGCUUCUUACCUCUGUAGAGAUCCUGGUAUGGUGCCUCGUAACAAUGAUACUGUAAAUGGAACCGAUGCAAAGGUCAAGUACUAUGACACCUGCCUGCAGCAUCCGCCGCCUCGUUCUUCUCACUGUUCUAUCUGUAACAACUGUGUGGAGCGUUUUGAUCAUCACUGUCCUUGGGUUGGUCAAUGCAUAGGACUGGUAACUAUAUUAAUGCCUAAUAGUCUAAUAUAUUUCAUUGUCAUCCGAAUCUGCAUGGUGAAUCUCUAUUGCAACUAUUAAUCAAUGUUUGGUGCUAACUACCAACUUUUCUCGUGCAGCGUAAUUAUCGUUUAUUAUAUAUGUUUGUAUUCUUGACCACAUUACUCUGCCUCUAUGUGUCUGGGUUCUGUUGGGUGUACAUAAUUAAGAUCAAAGAUGCAGAGGAUUCAUCGAUUUAGAGGGCAAUGUUGAAGACACCUGCCUGAGUGAUUCGGAUCAUCUACUGUUUUAUUUGUGUGUGGUUUUUUGGCAGUCUUUUUGUCUUUCAUCUCUACCUGAAGAGCACCAAUCAGGUCGCUUCCCUUCCCACCUUUCCUCUGUUUUAAAACUCUUGGUAUUUAAAUCAUUUUUUCGCAACUUCGUAAUUAUUCAAUCCUUCAUCUUUGCAAACAACCUACAAGAACUUUAGGUAUCGGUGCGACCUACGGUCUAACCCAUAUACCAAGAUUGCUUAGAGCUAACAUAGAGGUUAAUUAAAUUAAUCUUUAGUUCUCCUCUGAUCCUCGUGGCGGCGGCACGGGUCAGCUGUUCGGGGACAAGGGGCGCCUCGUCCGGCUGGUCUCCCGGAGGCAGGGACGGCUAGAUCCGGUGGUGGCUGGGCUAGGAGGAGGUGCAGCGGAGCUGGUGGCGGGGUUUCGGUCGGGGUCGUCUUCGAUCUCGAUCGGGAUCUCCAUCGGGGGCGUCGCACAGCGAUGGCGUGACCGGAUCGGUGGCGGGCACCGCUCGGUUCCAGCCAACCGCGAGAUCGGGACGACGUGGCUUCUGAUGAAAAUCGUGCCUAACCGCGGUCAUGGCAGACGAUGGCGGCGUCUCGGACGUCGUUCCCUUCUCGAGGCAUCGUUGCUGCAGGUCACGUCAACCUGAUCGGAAGGUUCCGGGGGAAACCCUAGAUCUGGAUCUACUGGAUCGGACGAUGGCGACGUUUCGAUGUCGUUAUCCCUCCUGGGGGCAUCGUAUUGGAGCAAGUGUUGGCUGGAGGGGACAAGAGGAGGAGCGGCGUGGUAUCUGACACGUCGACAACGGCGGGUCUCAGCGGCAUGGAGCAGCGGGA